ACUGACAUUAGAUACCCCCGUAGUCCAGGGUGUAAACGCUGCAGACUUGGUGUUGGGAACCCUUCGGGGGUGCUCAGUGCCGGAGAGAAGUUGUUAAGUCUGCUACUUGGGGAGUACGUCCGCAAGGAUGAAACUUAAAGGAAUUGGCGGGGGAGCACCGCAACGGGAGGAGCGUGCGGUUUAAUUGGAUUCAACGCCGAAAAACUCACCAGCAGCGACUGUUACACGAAAGUCAGGUUGAUGACCUUACUAGAUUUUCAG
rnacentral:rRNA from 1 species